UCCGGCUUCCCGCCGGCAGUCUCCCGAGAGUCCCCGCCUUUACGCGCUGGCAACACGGGACAAGGGUUGCGCUCGUUGCGGGACUUAACCCAACAUCUCACGACACGAGCUGACGACAGCCAUGCACCACCUGUAUACCGACCACAAGGGGGGCCGUAUCUCUACGGCUUUCCGGUAUAUGUCAAACCCAGGUAAGGUUCUUCGCGUUGCAUCGAAUUGAGCAACACGCUCCGCUGCUUGUACGGGCCCCCGUCAAUUCCUUUGAGUUUUAGCCUUGCGGCCGUACUCCCCAGGCGGGGCACUUAAUGCGUUAGCUACGGCACGGAAUCCGUUGGUUAGAUCCCACACCUAGUGCCCAACGUUUACGGCGUGGACUAC
rnacentral:misc_RNA from 1 species